AUUGAACGCUGGCGGCAGGCCUAACACAUGCAAGUCGAACGAGUGGCGGACGGGUGAGUAAUGUCUGGGAGACUGCCCGAUGGAGGGGGGUAACUACUGGAAACGGUAGCGAAUACCGCAUACCAUCGGAGGUGCCCAGAUGGGAUUAGCUAGUAGGUGGGGUAACGGCUCACCUAGGCGACGAUCCCUAGCGGGUCUGAGAGGAUGACCAGCCAAACUGGAACGUAGACACGGUCCAGACUCCUACGGGAGGCAGCAGUGGGGAAUAUUGCACAAUGGGCGCAAGCCUGAUGCAGCCAUGCCGCGUGUAUGAAGAAGGCCUUCGGGUUGUAAAGUACUUUCAGCGAGGAGGCGUUACUCGCAGAAGAAGCACCGGCUAACUCCGUGCCAGCAGCCGCGGUAAUAC
rnacentral:rRNA from 1 species